rnacentral:lncRNA from 1 species
GCCAGGUCGUAUUUAAUAAAUAGCACUUCUCAUUAUGUAAUCACAUUUAGUUUCUCAGUUUUAUAUUUAAGAUAAUAUAUUCUAUAUUAUUCUCAUAUACAUAUAUUUCAAAAGUAUGUACUCCAACAUUGAAAGAUCACUUAACAAGUUUAUUGUAUAUUAAUAUAUCAGAUGUAGCAAACUCUUUUUUGUUUGACUGGAGAUGUAACAAAACCUUAUUUUCACUAUACACACAACUCAUGCAAAUAAAAAUUACCCCAUUGCAUUUAGAAAGUUACUUUUCUUAUCGGAGAAAUUGCUUAAAAACGGAUCCAACUAUAGUUAAUGGGUCAAUCACUUUUUAAGUCGGCUAAAACCAACUUAAAAAGUGAUUAGUUUGCUUUAAAAGGUGUUCAAUGGUAGUUACUACAAUUGGAAAAGCCAAAUCGUAGUUAACUACAAUUGGAUCCGUUUUUAAGCAAUUUCUUUCUAGCAUUUAUUGCAACUCCAGUUUAUGAUACAUACGUGGUACCACAGUUGGGCUUCCACUGAACCUUUGCUUAAUUCUAUUGCAUAGUUGGUUUCAUCAUAGUUAGUAGGACCGACCACUUAGGGUAUUGGUCUGUCAAGGUCAGAUAGCUAUGAAACAAUUGCUCUUUAUGCAUCCAGUAAAGUCCAACUGUAGUUAAUCACAAUUCAUAUACACUUUUUAAAUCGGAUGAAUUGAUUUAAAAACUGUCUCAACCGAACUCAAUAGUACUAAACGUUAGUUAAUUACCAUUUGGUUGGUGCCUGAAAGCAAUCACUACUAAAGAGCAAUUGUCUAACUAUGAAGAUGGCCUGAACAUACAUUUCCAGAAAAAGGAUAGUAUUUGGCCAUUCAAAUAUUAAUUAGACCUUAUAUUAAGCAAAAUUAUUCGGGGCAAUUAUUCUUAGUCGUAUAUGUACUUGCAAUUAUUUAUUAUUAUAUGAAUUAUGUGUUUUAUUUAGAUGGUUUGCGUUGAUUUUGAUUUUUUUUUUAUCAAUGGUUUGGUUUGAUCAUUACUAGAAACUCCCGAUUUUCC